CAGGUUUGUGAAUGCUGACCACUGCAGCUUAUUGCAGGUCAUGCAUGUUCCCUUAUCCACCUAACUAUACCCAGCAUCUUGAAGUUUCUCCAAAAUCUGCUCCUGACCAGAUGUUAAGAGCAUGUUGUCAAACUGCGUUCUGCGCUCCUGUCGUACUACAGUUCCUCAGUAGAUAAACAUUUCAGACCUGGAAGACUUGUGUUCAUUCUGGUAUUUAAAUUUAUCAUAGUGAAUGGGUGGUGUAGAUGCAGGUAAAAUUGCAACUUUUUUGUGUAUUUUUUAAUCUGUAACCAAAAUAUCAGUGAGUCUGUAAAGCCAUGUUUUCCAUUCCAGAUGGAUUUUUUUUUCUUUCAUUGGUUUUGAUUCCAGAUUGAUGUUCUUUGAUUGCAGAGAAGCUCAUCAACCACGAGAGUUUGGGAGAUGCCUGCCACGUAUGAUGACUGUUUACUCAUUUGGGGUGAGAGCUCAAUUCAUUGGUGGUGUGGGUUAUUGCUUUAUAAGUCCCUGGUCAUGUUUAAGUUCCUGUCCCAGAAGUGAAAGAGAGUGGGCUGAUGUGUAGAAUCUCUUAUGGGGGGGUCUAGAAUCAUGUGGAUGCACUGCUGUUCUGCCAGGAUGCAGAUGUGAAGCCCCCUACCACAUCCUACUGCGGGGACAAGCCCAGCCACGCUGCCAUUUGGCUGUGUCCUCCCUCCCCAGCUGCCUACUUUUUUUGGGUUGGUGAUGCAGCAGACAGCUGUCCAGCAUCAGUGGGUGAUGCCACUGAGUUUUUAAGUUUCUUUCAGCAGAUUUUGUGUUGGGCAUGAGAUGGGUAGGUGUAAUGGCCUGCAUUUCCACUCCAAUAUUCAAAGUGCAUUAACAAUGUUUCAGGAAGAAAAAAACAGUCUGUAUCACAUGUUGAGAUGCUGCCUGUGUUAUUUUAGGAGAUGAGGCUGAUGUUUCAUUGUGACAGUGUAAACUCCUUUUGGCAAAGGCAGUUCGCGCACACCUCUUUCUUACUUGCACUUGCCCACUUGCUGGCCAGCCAGACCUUGGAUACAUUAUUAAUGCACUGCUGGUCAUUACAAGUGCAUAACACUAGGUGGGCUUAUGCUGUUCCAAAAGCUUCAGUUAACAUGUUACUACAUCACGCUUCAUUAAGAGCUACCGCAGUAUUUUUUAGUUAACGAUUAAUGGAAUGCCACUGAAGAUGGACUUGGGUGCUUGAAAAGUGACUUGUACUAAAUACAUUUUGUUUGUGAUUUGGUAGGAUGGUUUUACUCUGAAUCCUUCAGCCUUUAUUGUACAAGUGGGCUUCUGCUAAAAUCUUUGGCUUCUGCCUUUUGAUACAUAACUGUCUCGCUUUUGAAAUGCUCCAUUUUGUUCAUUUCACUGUUAGUUUUGUAUCCCCCUGCUGCUAGCGAGUUGAACAUGCCUUUGUCUAGCUCUGAAAUCACACGGUGCAUCACUGAAGUUGUAAAAAUCCGUUGUAAGCAGUUCUUUGCAGUAUUGCAUAUUAAGCACUAUAGUUCACAAAUCGAGCUUCAUUUCUUCCUUUUCUAUCGACAGCAUAGACUAUAGUUUGUUGAUAUGUGGCUCAUAAAGGUUCAAUACUGCUAAGAAAGUGCCAUGUGAUAACCACUACAGCUGUGAAACAGUAAGUGACUUAUCACUUCUGUCGUGAAAUGGCUCGUGCAGUUAACUACCACCACUGUUUAGCAGUACCUUUAGUUUACCGCUGGUAAUAAGAAAUGCGUACCAAGUCUGCCAGUAAUGUUGAGAAACGUAUGCUUGUGUCUGUGAUGCUAAUGUGUAUUUUCUACUAGUGCCACUAAGAUACACGUAUGAUCAUCACUGCUGUCAAGAGACGGGUCAUAAAUUAUACCAUUGCCAGUGUGUCUCCCUUCACUAGAGACAUGGCAUGCAGUUUCACUGCUGUACAGAAAUUGUUCUAUAGAAUUUGUAUAGUCAUCAGUAAACAGACAGGCAGAAUUGCCAGACCGAGUAAUUCCUUAUUGGAGGUACAUUGUAGAUCCAUCACUGUUGAAUGGACCCUCUGUAAGUCGUGCAGCACUGUGGUAUGUUUGUAACAUUCUGUAUGAGAACAUAUGUAUGUAUGUACACACAAGUGCAAUUCUUAGUGCUACAGGGAAAAAAUGCCCAAGAAACAACUAUUGUGUGAUCAUCUUCAAAAUUGCGUGACCACAUUUGGUGAGACGUUAUCCUAAAAUAGGACUUGGCUUUCCUAGCUCUCUGGUUUGCUCAGUUUACUUUUUGUUUGAAUAUUUGUAUGAAGUUAUUUGUUGUAUUUUAUACUGGGAUUUUUUUUUGUAAUGCACUGUAGUUUGAAGCCUGUAAAGCUUUUUUACUCAAGCAAUUGCUUCCUUGAACCACUUGUAUCCCCACUCCAUCCUGUCUUACUAAGAAAGUAAACCACUGUAGUUAAAAUGAAAUGUUACAAAUUCAUGAAUCAUUCUUCUGGGGAUAUGCAUUUGUCACCUUUAAGCAGUAUGUAAUAGAGAAGUAAGUUUUUAGUUGUGUAUUUUAUCAUGAAACAGACCCAAGAAAAUUACUUUAUUAAAAAAAAUUGUAGUGAUUGAGGGAGGAUUGGUGCAUCUUUAAGGAAUGCCUCCCAUAGACACACAUGGAAGGUUCAGUGAUGAUGGUUCCAUUUACAGCAUGAAAGAAGUCACAAAAUAGUUGCUGUUUACCAUAGCAGGUAGGAAAUGUUUGUUUUGUUUGAAACUCCUUCACAGUUUAUUGCAACAAUGUUGUGCAGGUGCCACGGCUGCACAAAGGAGCUCAUGUGCUGCGUAAACGCAUUUUGUUGUGCAGGCACCACGGCUGCACAAAGGAGCUCCUGUGUUCAUGUAUGAAGUAUUGCUGUAAUAGUUGUAGAAAGAUCCCCUUGACCAUUUGUCACUGCACUAGCCAAGAGACUUCUGUCUUGUUCUGAGCCACAGUUACAUUGUUCCAGAUAGUCUUGAAACUGUUGCCCUUUGCUAGGCAGUUGAUAAAGUGAUGCUACCAUUUCCUGAUUAACGGCAAUGAAACUGACACCUUGUUCAGUGUGACAGGCAUAAGUGCACUGCACUGCUUCGAACUGUGGUCCUCAAGACUGUCAUGGUUUGGGCAGCCAGCUACAAGCCUGCUUAAACACAGAGGUUAUAUGAUUGUUGUCUUACUUUCUGGUAGUUUGUAAUCUGAAUAUGAUAUUCCUGCAUUUCUCUUAGCACUGUGAUUCUAAAUACCAGAUGAGCUGCUUGCAUGCUGAAAAAAUAGUCUGGUUUGUACUAGAGUUUAAGAUGCAUGAAAUUAGACUCCUCUGCAGUCACGUCAGCCUUUGUCCUGAUCUGUGGGAAAGAGAGUACAGAGCCUGUGCUACAAAAGCUCAGCUGUAACAGUUGGCUCUGUAAGGGUAGCCAAAAGCUUAUAAACAGCAGACAUAUGGAGGCUGAGCAUUUUAGAGUGGGUAAUUCUUUGGGCAUAGGCAUUAUUAAAAGAGGGUAACUUUAGCUAGCAGCUGAUGGGUUGAACAGAGUUGUUAAUUUUCUGUACUUGGCUUCCCCCAUGUCUAAACUCUUUAUGGAUUGAGUUAAAAUAAUAAAAUGUCAAAAGUUUAGUAGUAUAACUGAGAGGUUAUUGCAUACAUUGUAAAAGCCUUAAAACCAUAAUGACUUGCAUUCCAUCUGUCUCUCAUGAUAUGCAGUCAAUUUGGUGCUUUUAAUUUUAAGAUAAAACACAGAGGAAGACAGCUGGGUUUUGGGUUAAACAUUUUUCCCCAUAGGAUUUUGGUCUUUAGUAAACCAAACCCACCCCUGAAGUGACCUUUGUGCUCCCACUGCACUCUUUACCAAAUGCCACUAAACAUACCCUGUUAGUUUUACUUUGAGGUUUGUUUUCUGUGUUCGCUACUACUCUGAUGUGCUGAUUGGAGGGGAGGUAUUAUGUAACUGUAUCCUGACAGCAGUGUGAAACAUAUCGAUGGUAGUACUUUGUCUAGUUCUGUCUUCAGUCAUGCUGUGGUAGCACCGCCUUCCUUGCUCAAAAAUGUUUUUAUUUUUGUUCUACUUUAAAUUGCACUUGUAUGAUUGUGGUUCCCAAAAGUUAAACUGCACAGAUUAUUCCACUGUGUGUAUUUUACUGAAAAACAAAAUAAUACUGGGAAAAAAGUGGUUGGGUACUUAGUCCAUAUUGUAAGCUGCACUCGUAUGUUAGAAUUGUCUUUUAAAGAACUUCCACUUGCUAUGUGAAAAGGACUGCGACUUUCAGUUAAGUUUGCACAGAGUAAUGGGUCCCUUUCUGUCCGUUUCCAGCAUGUGUUUUUUGACAGCAGAGUAUCACAGUUUCUUGUUUUAGAGUCUUAUAGCAAUUGCAUACAUGUUGUUUAAAUAAAGAGGAGAAUUUUUAUAACACUAA